rnacentral:lncRNA from 1 species
GCCAGCCCCCAGCGCCCCUUUCUUCUGUCCCCAGGGCCUCGGCUUCACAGGAUGGGGCUGCCAGUGUCCUGGGCCCCUCCUGCCCUCUGGGUUCUAGGGUGCUGCGCCCUGCUCCUCUCGCUGUGGGCGCUGUGCACAGCCUGCCGCAGGAAGAGGGCGCGGAGGCAGCGGGCGAGGCUGCAGGGCAGUGCGACGGCGGCGGAAGCGCAAGUCGGACACCAGACUGCACGAGCUGCACCGGGGCCCGCGCAGCAGCAGGGGUGAGCAGAGGGCGGGGCGGGGGCGGCCGGGCGGGGCUUACUGUGCAGCGCGUGCCAACCCCUGGGCCAGACCCGCUCCUGCCCCCUGCCCGGAGUGAACUCUGCCCUGACCCCACCCCCAGCCCUGCGGCCUGCCAGCAUGGAUCUCCUGCGCCCACACUGGCUGGAGGUGUCCAGGGACAUCACCGGACCGCAGGCAGCCCCCUCUGCCUUCCCACACCAGGAGCUGCCCCGGGCUCUGCCGGCAGCUGCAGCCACCGCAGGGUGCGCUGGCCUCGAGGCCACCUAUUCCAACGUGG